rnacentral:rRNA from 1 species
GAUCAUGGCUCAGGACGAACGCUGGCGGCGUGCUUCAUACAUGCAAGUCGAACGAUAAGGCGCCUUCGGGUGUACAUAAGUGGCGGACGGGUGAGUAAUAUGUAGAGAAUCUGCCCUAGAGAGUGGGACAACAGUUGGAAACGACUGCUAAUACCGCAUAUGAGCGUACCUGAAAUGGUAUUCUUGAAAACUCCGGUGCUCUGGGAUGAGUCUGCAUCUGAUUAGCUAGUUGGGGGUGUAAUGGACCACCAAGGCGACGAUCAGUAGCUGGUUUGAGAGGAUGAUCAGCCACAAUGGGACUGAGACACGGCCCAUACUCCUACGGGAGGCAGCAGUAGGGAAUUUUGCGCAAUGGGGGAAACCCUGACGCAGCAACGCCGCGUGACCGAUGAAGCCCUUCGGGGUGUAAAGGUCCGUCAGUGGGGACGAAUAUUGACGGUACCCACAGAGGAAGCAUCGGCUAACUCCGUGCCAGCCGCUGC